UAAUACGUAGGGGGCAAGCGUUGUCCGGAUUUAUUGGGCGUAAAGAGCGUGUAGGCGGCUAGGUAGGUCCGUUGUGAAAACUCGAGGCUCAACCUCGAGACGCCGGUGGAAACCAUCUAGCUAGAGUCCGGAAGAGGAGAGUGGAAUUCCUGGUGUAGCGGUGAAAUGCGCAGAUAUCAGGAAGAACACCCGUGGCGAAGGCGGCUCUCUGGGACGUGACUGACGCUGAGACGCGAAAGCGUGGGGAGCGAACAGGAUUAGAUACCCUGGUAGUCCACGCUGUAAACGAUGGGUGCUAGGUGUGGGGGGUGUCGACUCCCUCCGUGCCGAAGCUAACGCAUUAAGCACCCCGCCUGGGGAGUACGGCCGCAAGGCUA
rnacentral:rRNA from 1 species